AUUGAACGCUGGCGGCAGGCCUAACACAUGCAAGUCGAACGGUAACAGGAAGAAGCUUGCUUCUUUGCUGACGAGUGGCGGACGGGUGAGUAAUGUCUGGGAAACUGCCUGAUGGAGGGGGAUAACUACUGGAAACGGUAGCUAAUACCGCAUAACGUCGCAAGACCAAAAAGGGGGACCUUCGGGCCUCUUGCCAUCGGAUGUGCCCAGAUGGGAUUAGCUAGUAGGUGGGGUAACGGCUCACCUAGGUGACGAUCCCUAGCUGGUCUGAGAGGAUGACCAGCCACACUGGAACUGAGACACGGUCCAGACUCCUACGGGAGGCAGCAGUGGGGAAUAUUGCACAAUGGGCGCAAGCCUGAUGCAGCCAUGCCGCGUGUAUGAAGAAGGCCUUCGGGUUGUAAAGUACUUUCAGCGGGGAGGAAGGGAGUAAAGUUAAUACCUUUGCUCAUUGACGUUACCCGCAGAAGAAGCACCGGCUAACUCCGUG
rnacentral:rRNA from 1 species